rnacentral:tRNA from 1 species
CGGAGUGUGGCGUAGUUUGGUAGCGUUUCUGAUUUGGGUUCAGAAGGUCGUAGGUUCAAAUCCUACCACUCCGA